UAUGCACCUCUUGCGAAAUGAAAUUUCCUAUACAAAACCUAUGCAUAAAAAACGUCGCGAAAUGUUCGCGAAAAAUUUUUUCGUUUCCAUUUCGUAAGCGGUACGCAGCUCUCGCGAAAACGAUAACGAAAAAUGUAGUUAGCUGAGACACGGUUCGACAAACGAUAAGUUUCAUAAUACUUCCGCGAGACAGCGCUGCUUUCUAUUCGCUGUCAAGCUUAGUAUGCACCUCUUGCGAAAUGAGGUCGCGAAAUAUUUUUCCUUCUUCCGUGCGGAAUUUUGACAUUUGAUUGCGAAAAAUAGUCUGUGCGUUUGCCGUCAGAUGUCGCUUUUGACAGCUGAAAAGUACUAUCAGCUGUUUUUGUUUAUUUGUUGAAAGCCUGCUACAAGAAAUGCUCGUUCAAUUGCCCGGCCAACCUGUGCACGAUCCGGGAUGGUCGGGUCGACAAGGAAAGCGAAUGGGCACACAACCAUGCGCCUGGGGACGACUACGAAAAGAAUGCCAUCAACCAAGGUUACAUGUAGGAUGCAAAAACAAACAAGUAGAUUGCUUACAAACCUAUUUCGGCUGAGCGGGGUCAGCGGUUGGUCGUGCACAAUGGCUACCGGUACUCGUCGGUCGGUUGAUCAGCGACGGGCGAAUCGCAUGGAAGUGCACCAAGUGUAAGGUGUUUUGCCAUCACCGGCCGUUUCGGGACAAUUAAGGAUCGUGGUACGGAGCAUAAGCACGAACUGGAUGAGAGUGAUUCGUUCCUAGGCUAUCAGCAGGAGAUGAUACAGACGAUUUGUCGCAAUCGGUUAAACUCGAUGUUAGUAAGGAACAACUUGCUGAGGAUGAUGAUGGAAACGGCGCCAAAGAAUGAGGGCAACGUUUGCGACGUUGGAGAUGAGACUUUUGAAGCUGCCGAGGGAAUGUUUAUCAUUCCUUUAGCUGUGGUUGGGCAGAGUUAGGUAAAGUAAAACCUGCGAGCUGUAAGGUAUUUUGGCGUGAUAGUCAUUUACAUGGUAAGACGUGGAAAACUCGAAACAUUGUCUUGUAUGUUUUGCCUUUUUCAUAUAGAAAGGUUAUGCAAUCACUCUGAAAACCGUCAACCUAAUCCCAGCCUAAUUUUUUUUUUACUGUCGUAAGGUUUCUUGAUUUUAACAGUGGCAUAGCUGAGGGGAGAGGGGUUACCCCCCUCUACCGUUUACUCUCUCCCUCAACCCCGUCAUCUUUAAACCACCACUAUAUCACAAAGCAUACCAAAUUAUGCUGGGGAGUCGUUCCUUCGUGGAAUUUUCGCCCUCCUUCCACGCCCACCCCCGCAUGCAAAAUGAGUAACCAAGCAAAUAACAUUGAACUAAUACUGAUUAGGCUAAUUAAGUAUAUUUUUUGUUUCAAGUGUUUUACCGUCGACACGUAGCUCAUCAAGUUCGUGGCUGGCAAGCUAUUGUGUAUAAGUGCAAAGUGUACUAAGAAUGUAAUGGACAUUUCCACAUAACAAUGUGGACAAACAUUGUUGAACAUAACCAGCCACCGAGCCAUAGUAUAGAGAAAUGAGAAAGGCACAAUUGCACCGCUAGGUGGAUUAAAACAGGUUUUUUUUUAUCACCAGUCAAUGUAAAUAUAUUAAAUACGUUUAAGCA